rnacentral:rRNA from 1 species
AGCAGCCGCGGUAAUUCCAGCUCCAAUAGCGUAUAUUAAAGUUGUUGCAGUUAAAAAGCUCAUAGUUGAAUUUCGGGAUCAGUUUGUUGGUCGUGCUUCGGUACGUACUGUCAUUACUGGUUUCUCCCUUCUGAAGAACCUUGAUGUCAUUAAUUUGGUGUCUUGGGGAAUCAGGACUGUUACUUUGAAAAAAUUAGAGUGUUUAAAGCAGGCAUACGCUUGAAUACAUUAGCAUGGAAUAAUGAAAUAGGACGUUUGAUUCUAUUUUGUUGGUUUCUAGGAUCGACGUAAUGAUUAAUAGGGAUAGUUGGGGGCAUUAGUAUUCAAUUGUCAGAGGUGAAAUUCUUGGAUUUAUUGAAGACUAACUACUGCGAAAGCAUUUGCCAAGGAUGUUUUCAUUAAUCAAGAACGAAAGUUAGGGGAUCGAAGACGAUCAGAUACCGUCGUAGUCUUAACCAUAAACUAUGCCGACUAGGGAUCGGAUGAUGUUAUUUUUAAUGUACUCAUUCGGCGCCUUAAC